rnacentral:rRNA from 1 species
CAGCCGCCGCGGUAAUACAGAGGGUGCAAGCGUUAAUCGGAAUUACUGGGCGUAAAGCGCGCGUAGGUGGUUUGUUAAGUUGGAUGUGAAAUCCCCGGGCUCAACCUGGGAACUGCAUCCAAAACUGGCAAGCUAGAGUAUGGUAGAGGGUGGUGGAAUUUCCUGUGUAGCGGUGAAAUGCGUAGAUAUAGGGAGGAACACCAGUGGCGAAGGCGACCACCUGGACUGAUACUGACACUGAGGUGCGAAAGCGUGGGGAGCAAACAGGAUUAGAUACCCCCGUAGUCCCUGUCUCUUAUAC